GUUACUCAGUACCACACCG
rnacentral:misc_RNA from 1 species